CCCGCAGACGAUGCAUCCGAUCAGAUGAACGUUUAUGCCACUCACUGCAAGAGUGAAUAAAAAUUAUUACACGAAUCUACACAAGCAGGACGCGCUUGGAAUUAUCAUUAAAACGAGAAAGAUGUUACACGUUGUCUAAAUUACAGCGAGAGUAUACGAGUGCAAUGGUUUCUUUGCGAAGAAAAAAAAAAAUAAUUAAUUCGUACCUUGGUUGAGCGCCAGAGCAGAACCGAUAAAGGAAUAAACCCUCUCGACAAACCUGAUAAGCGGAAUUGAGCCUUAGCGUCGUAAAGACCGGAAGAUAAAUCGUACUGACAGCGACUCC